rnacentral:rRNA from 1 species
CAGGUCUUGACAUCCCGAGGCCCGCCAUGGAGACAUGGNUUUCCCUUCGGGGACGUCGUGACAGGUGGUGCAUGGUUGUUGUCAGCUCGUGUCGUGAGAUGUUGGGUUAAGUCCCGCAACGAGCGCAACCCUUGUCUUUAGUUGCCAUCAUUGAGUUGGGCAUUUUAAGGGGACUGCCGCAGACAAUCCGGAGGAAGGUGGGGAUGACGUCAAAUCAUCAUGCCCCUUAUGACCUGGGUUACCCACGUGUUCCAAUGGCCGGUACAGCGGGUAGCGAAGCCGGGAGGGGGAGCCAAUCCUUAAAACCCGUUCUCAGUUGGGAUGGCNUNNAAUUGGCNUCCAGGAAGCNGGANUNNUUNNUANUNG